UNGCCUUGAUAGCUCAGUUGGCAGAGCGCGACACUAGUAAUGUCGAGGUCAGCGGUUCAAGUCCGCUUCGAGGCAGC
rnacentral:tRNA from 1 species